ensembl:lncRNA LINC02831 long intergenic non-protein coding RNA 2831
AGUUGAGAAGCAAUGCUGUUUCACCUCCCUGAGAGAAUUGCCUUGUUUGUGAAAUACUACAGAAAAACCUGUAUUUUCUCCAGAAAAUGAAAGGUCUUGGCCUGAGUAAAUCAAGGCAGAAAACUCACCCCCGUGAAAGCUGCAGCUCUGAGAGUGUGUGGGCAGGGCUUCAACAGAAUACCUGUGGCUGCACUUACAAAAGGCAGCCAGAAGGACCCGUCCAUUCUGGAAAGUACCUUUAGUCUGAAAGCAUUUAUUGCAGAAAAAAUAUGAGGCUUGCUGGUAGUAUUCCCAGGUGACAAAUGUGCACCCAACACCCUACAGAAAAGAAGAACCAUAAAAUAAUUAAUUAUUCCAUUGUAACUCCUGCCUGGAAAACAUCUGAAAGAAGUCACUAGAUUCAGCCCACAUUCAAGAUGAGAAAUACCAGAAGGCAGAGAACACUGAGGCUGUUUUAGAGGCUGUCAACCCCAGGGAGACAGACAGCAAAUAACAGGAUGCUUGGAUGUUUUCACACCACUCUGACACAUGGAUGGAAGGUUAGAAGACAACAAAGGAAUGGGCUGGGAAGGACUCCAAAAGCAGAAUCAGAGAUUAUAUCAUUCCUUGGAAAUGGAGAAAAGGAUCAAAAAAGCUGAAUAAAAGGCAAACAUGGAGGAACAGAGUUUGGAGCAAUACCCUGACUUACAUUCAGUACUGUUAAUGGCUCCAGCAUCUUGAAACAAACCAAUUUUGGAUUUUCAGUUUAAUUGUUAUUCUUGAGAAGUCGGCUCUCAGCUGGAAUAUCAUUCCUUUGAAGAACUAAAAUUCAAAACAACAGCUUUAUGUGCAGUAUCCUCUAGGAAAGAGACAAGAAGUGAGGUCAUCUCAAUACUGUCUUAACACAUCUGAUCUGAGGUGUAGACCAUUCAAAAGGCAAAGUGAGCAGUCUAUUCUCACUCCUGGAUUCUUCAUUAAAAUAUUAUAUUCCCAGCAUUUCUGUGUCAAAAGGCGUGGGGAUGAGGAAUCUAUUCUCUGCAACAAAAGCCUAGAUCAACUCUAUCAAUCAUUAAUAAUAGACAAAGGAUCAUGUUAACGAAGGAUAACACAGAACUCUAAGAAGUCACUUGGUGAAUCUCUUCUGAUCCUAAAGAGGACUGGAUGGAGGAACCACCUGGUGGAGUGAGAAGAGAACAGACAUUCAUCUUCUUGCCAGCAACCUUGCCAGUGACCUUGAACAACUGCAUUUUAAAUGAUUGUUUUAAGAAUAAAAUGAGACAGUCCAGGUAAAAC